rnacentral:piRNA from 1 species
AGAGGAGAGGUAAAUCUACGG